rnacentral:rRNA from 1 species
UGGGGAAUUUUGGACAAUGGGCGCAAGCCUGAUCCAGCAAUGCCGCGUGCAGGAUGAAGGCCUUCGGGUUGUAAACUGCUUUUGUACGGAACGAAAAAGCUCUCUCUAAUACAGGGGGUGAAUGACGGUACCGUAAGAAUAAGCACCGGCUAACUACGUGCCAGCAGCCGCGGUAAUACGUAGGGUGCAAGCGUUAAUCGGAAUUACUGGGCGUAAAGCGUGCGCAGGUGGUUUUGUAAGACAGAUGUGAAAUCCCCGGGCUUAACCUGGGAACUGCGUUUGUGACUGCAAGGCUGGAGUACGGCAGAGGGGGGUGGAAUUCCACGUGUAGCAGUGAAAUGCGUAGAGAUGUGGAGGAACACCGAUGGCGAAGGCAGCCCCCUGGGCCUGUACUGACGCUCAUGCACGAAAGCGUGGGGAGCAAACA